rnacentral:rRNA from 1 species
UACGGGGGGGGCAAGCGUUGUUCGGAAUUACUGGGCGUAAAGGGCUCGUAGGCGGCCAACUAAGUCAGACGUGAAAUCCCUCGGCUUAACCGGGGAACUGCGUCUGAUACUGGAUGGCUUGAGGUUGGGAGAGGGAUGCGGAAUUCCAGGUGUAGCGGUGAAAUGCGUAGAUAUCAGGAGGAACACCUGUGGUGUAGACGGCUUUCUGGACCAUAGCUGACGCUGAGACACGAAAGCGUGGGUAGCAAACAGG